CCUACGGGGGGCAGCAGUGGGGGAUAUUGCACAAUGGGGGAAACCCUGAUGCAGCGACGCCGCGUGUGGGAAGACGGUCCUCUGGAUUGUAAACCACUGUCCCCAGGGACGAAGAUGACGGUACCUGGGGAGGAAGCUCCGGCUAACUACGUGCCAGCAGCCGCGGUAAUACGUAGGGAGCAAGCGUUGUCCGGAAUUACUGGGUGUAAAGGGAGCGUAGGCGGGAUGGCAAGUUGGGUGUUAAAUCUACCGGCUCAACUGGUAGUCGCACUCAAAACUGCUAUUCUUGAGUGAAGUAGAGGCAGGCGGAAUUCCUAGUGUAGCGGUGAAAUGCGUAGAUAUUAGGAGGAACACCAGUGGCGAAAGCGAUUCACUGGACUGUAACUGACACUGAGGCACGAAAGCGUGGGGAGCAAACAGGAUUAGAUACCCGAGUAGUC
rnacentral:rRNA from 1 species